GAUGAACGCUGGCGGCGUGCCUAAUACAUGCAAGUCGAGCGAACAGAUGAGGAGCUUGCUCCUCUGACGUUAGCGGCGGACGGGUGAGUAACACGUGGAUAACCUACCUAUAAGACUGGGAUAACUUCGGGAAACCGGAGCUAAUACCGGAUGAUAUAUUGAACCGCAUGGUUCAAUAGUGAAAGACGGUUUUGCUGUCACUUAUAGAUGGAUCCGCGCCGCAUUAGCUAGUUGGUAAGGUAACGGCUUACCAAGGCAACGAUGCGUAGCCGACCUGAGAGGGUGAUCGGCCACACUGGAACUGAGACACGGUCCAGACUCCUACGGGAGGCAGCAGUAGGGAAUCUUCCGCAAUGGGCGAAAGCCUGACGGAGCAACGCCGCGUGAGUGAUGAAGGUCUUCGGAUCGUAAAACUCUGUUAUUAGGGAAGAACAAAUGUGUAAGUAACUAUGCACGUCUUGACGGUACCUAAUCAGAAAGCCACGGCUAACUACGUG
rnacentral:rRNA from 1 species